AACAUUAAUUUUAUUACAACUAAAAUGAAUUUAUUAAAUUAAUAACACGGACUUGAAUCAUAUUCAUAAACUAAACUUAAUACUCAACGUCUCACUCUCUCUUUCUCUAUUCCAGCAAGACACUCCAACGCCUUCAUCGUCACUGCCGGCGGCGUAUAAAAACACCACUCUCACCGCCGGUAUAGCAGUACAGCGAACACAGCUCUGUUUCCCCUAACUUUCCGUCAAGUCGGCAGCGGUGGUGUUGGUUGGUGACGGUGCCAGCAUAGUAAGCUGUUGUUGCAAAUCUGGCCGGCGGAACAGUCACGACGCCGGCAUUCGAUGGCGGUAAGCGAGGAGAACAAUGAUGUGGUGUCGUGGUGAUGUUGGCGGUGACAGUCACCGGCGGCGAAGAAACAUCGACGACGAUGCCGGUAACGGUGGGAAAUCGGCUAAGCAAGGAGGACGAUUAGGUGCUGUGGUGGUGAAAUCAGUUGAAGGAUCAUUAAAACCUAGAAUAAAUCUGUACAAGGUUGACACGCGUUAAAAGCCGAUAUGAAUGAGUGCUCAUAAUGUAAAAAAACAAAAUCUAGUGGUCAAAACUUAAAUAUCAAAUCUUCACUUCAUGGCAUAACGGUAAAUAAGAUGCAAAAAUUGACCAAUUAGGGUACUGUUCAUAAGCUGCGACGUAAAUUGUUAUAUACAAGAGCUGCCAAGGUUGGGAAAGGGUUAUUAAAGAAUUGUUAGGCCCAGAAGCUUGCUUUGCAGCAUUGGCUUGAGGCGGUAGUGGAAACCGUGGUUUUACAUGAUUUUUCUAACAUUGUUUAUAUAUUAUGUAUACAGAUCGAUCCAAGACAUCGUUAUGGUCACGAUCUUCACUUCUAUUACUUAAAAUGGCUGUGCAUUUUUUAAGCAAAUAACACUUUUCUUACUGGU